AGCGGUGUGGCUCAGUGGAAAGAGCACGGGCUUGGGAGUCAGAGGUCAUAGGUUCGAAUCCUGACUCCGCCA
rfam:Ornithorhynchus anatinus chromosome 2, whole genome shotgun sequence.